UCGGGUCUUCAACUCCGGACCGCGAGCAACGGCACGAUCCGCGCCGUCGUCCGCGUCGCGACGCACCCACCCGACGGAACCACCCCUCCGGUAUAUGUGGGUCGUGAUUGCGCCGACCUAUCCCACUGCACACGUCGGAGAAGAGAUCGAAGUAGGAUCACGUACGAAAUUUCGAGGAUAUUCCGGGAUUCUUGCCAAAGCAUGCCGGUCGUUUCAUCCGCACGCCCGUAAACAGGAUCUCGCAAUCUCGCUUUCGUGAAGGGCGAAACUAGUAUUGAAAAGCUUCGUAAAAAGUUUCGCGCGGUUGGCCUGCGAGGAAAAUCGCAUGAAGGAUCUUAUAUAUCGGGGAGCACUUCUGUGACUUUUUAUGAGCGGAACAGAUGCGUCCUGUAUCCGCACGCGAAUUUUUAUGAGACGUGUACCGUCCUGCGGAACGAGCACCGGAAUUUUUAUAGGAACGGAAGGGCGGAGAGAAACGUCCGUGGUCAGCGGAAGUUAGAAAAUAUCCGGGCCGAGUAGCGAUUCAUUUCCUAGUGACGUCGAAGCCGUGGCUGUGGCGCCGUGAGAUCCGCCCGCCGCGUUUCAAGUGCGCAAUUAAUCGCGGAACUUAAUCGAGUGCCGAAUUAAUCGCGACGGAUUUACGAGCCGCGUUGUGUGACAGUGACAUUUGCCACGCACGAUUAUGAAACGCCGUCGCCGAUGCAAGUGAUUUAAUAACAACGAAAAAGAGAAAGGACUUAUUCUCUUAAAG